ACCCAAAUAUCUAAACGGUAAGAUUCAAUAUUGAAGGUAACUUCAAUGUGCACUUCUUACUUAGUAAGACGCUGUGAUCCAUUAGAAAUUGACCAUUCCAAUGGUUAUUUGGCCAUCAUUGGGUUGACGUUAAGUUCACUAAUGCAAAUGACUUGAUCUUAUAUGGUUGGGUGUAUUGUAUGGUGAGUUCGUUGAAUCCCGUAUGGCUGUCUGAUGGAUUUUAAAGGUUAUAACAUUGAUGCAAUUUUUUGUAUCACCCAUAUGUGGGAAUGGUUAUAUACUCGAUCAACAGCGGUUAAAUUUGGGAUACCUUUUGGACCCGUCUUGAAACACGGACCAAGGAGUCUAUCUAUUACGCAAGUAAAUGAGUAUAUGAAACUUAUUUGCAUAAAAAACUUGACUGUUAUGGGAUUACGAGCGAAUAUGCUUCUCCAUCCCGGGGUAUUUUUAUCAACACAUGCAGUAAUGUAUGUGGAAAAUAUACCAUGAGCGUAGUGGAUAUGACCCGAAAGAUGGUGAACUAUGCCUGAUCAGGUUGAAGUCAGGGGAAACUCUGAUGGAGGACCGAAGCAGUUCUGACGUGCAAAUCG
rnacentral:rRNA from 1 species